UACGUAGGGUGCAAGCGUUAAUCGGAAUUAUUGGGCGUAAAGGGUGCGUAGGCGGUUUGUUAAGACGGAUGUGAAAUCCCUGGGCUCAACCUGGGAACUGCAUUCGUGACUGGCAGACUAGAGUAUGGCAGAGGGAGGUGGAAUUCCACGUGUAGCAGUGAAAUGCGUAGAUAUGUGGAGGAACACCGAUGGCGAAGGCAGCCUCCUGGGCCAAUACUGACGCUGAGGCACGAAAGCGUGGGGAGCAAACAGG
rnacentral:rRNA from 1 species